UACGUAGGUGGCAAGCGUUGUCCGGAUUUACUGGGCGUAAAGAGCGCGCAGGCGGUCGAUUUAGUCGCGUGUGAAAGCCCCCGGCUCAACUGGGGAGGGUCAUUCGAUACUGAUCGACUCGAAGGCAGGAGAGGGUAGUGGAAUUCCCGGUGUAGUGGUGAAAUACGUAGAUAUCUGGAGGAAUACCGGUGGCGAAGGCGGCUAUCUGGCCAUGUACUGACGCUGAGAUACGAAAGCGUGGGGAGCAAACAGG
rnacentral:rRNA from 1 species